AACCUUAUGGACCUGCGGGCGUAUACCUGCGGAGGGAUCAUUACCGAGUUUACAACUCCCAAACCCCUGUGAACAUACCUAUACGUUGCCUCGGCGGAUCAGCCCGCGCCCCGUAAAAAGGGACGGCCCGCCCGAGGACCCCUAAACUCUGUUUUUAGUGGAACUUCUGAGUAAAACAAACAAAUAAAUCAAAACUUUCAACAAUGGAUCU
rnacentral:misc_RNA from 1 species